GACGAACGCUGGCGGCGUGCUUAACACAUGCAAGUCGAACGGAAAGGCCCUGCUUUUGUGGGGUGCUCGAGUGGCGAACGGGUGAGUAACACGUGAGUAACCUGCCCUUGACUUUGGGAUAACUUCAGGAAACUGGGGCUAAUACCGGAUAGGAGCUCCUGCUGCAUGGUGGGGGUUGGAAAGUUUCGGCGGUUGGGGAUGGACUCGCGGCUUAUCAGCUUGUUGGUGGGGUAGUGGCUUACCAAGGCUUUGACGGGUAGCCGGCCUGAGAGGGUGACCGGCCACAGUGGGACUGAGAUACGGCCCAGACGCCUACGGGAGGCAGAAGUGGGGAACAUUGCGCAAUGGGCGGAAGCCUGAUGCAGCAACGCCGCGUGCGGGAUGACGGCCUUCGGGUUGUAAACCGCUUUCGCCUGUGACGAAGCGUGAGUGACGGUAAUGGGUAAAGAAGCACCGGCUAACUACGUG
rnacentral:rRNA from 1 species